GCCUCCCAAAAAUGGAAGCAACCAUGCCUAAUUUAUUGUUGAAUACUUUUUCCGUAUACCAAGAGCUUUCUUUGCACUAGCAUCUGAAACUAUAUCCAGAAUGACAUUGGUUUUCAUAAAAGUGUUGAUCCUCACACCUCUUUAUAGUCUUGCACUUAGCACAGUGGAGUGAAACACUUUAAAUAGCACUUGUUCCUUGAGUAUAUAUGGAAAAAAGUGAAGUAUUGAUAAGUGUUCAGCUAAUAUGAGCAGCAUCUCAGGAAUCUCCAAUUCUUGAAUUACCAGGGAGUAUUUUUACCAUUUUCCCCCAGUGAAAGGCCUAUUUUGAGAGACUUACCCUCCAAAAUGAAUGUAUUAAGUCAUGUUCCUUUUUUUUUUUUUUUUUUUUUUUUGAGACAGGGCCUUGCUCUGUUGCCCGGGCUGGAGUGCAGUAGCAUGAUAGUUACAGGAAAGGGGUCCCAAUCUAGACCCCAAGAGAGGGUUCUUGGAUCUUGUGCAAGAAAGAAUUCAGGGUGAUGCCACAGUGUGAAGUGAAAGCAAGUUUAUUAAGAAAGUAAAGGAGGAGGGGCACGGUGGCUCACUCGUGUAAUCCCAGCACUUUGGGAGGCCGAGACAGGUGGAUCACGAGGUCAGGAGAUCAAGACCAUCCUGGUUAACAUGGUGAAACCUUGUCUCUACUAAAAAUACAAAAAAAUUAGCCAAGUGUGGUGGCGGGCGCCUGUAGUCCCACCUACUCUGGAGGCUGAGGCAGGAGAAUGGGAUGAACCCGGGAGGCGAAGCUUGCAGUAAGCCGAGAUCGUGCCACUGCACUCCAGCCUGGGUGAC
rnacentral:lncRNA from 1 species